rnacentral:rRNA from 1 species
AGCAUAUCAUUAAGCGGAGGAAAAGAAACCAACCGGGAUUCCCUCAGUAACGGCGAGUGAAGCGGGAUCAGCCCAGCGCCGAAUCCGCCGCGGCCUACAGCCCGGCCGGAACUGUGGCGUGCGGGACGUGGCCAGUCGGUCGGAAGCGUACCCGAGUCCCCCCGAGCGGGGCCCAUCCCAUAGCGGGUGCCAGGCCUCUGCAGGUACGCAUCCGACCGGCCGCUACCGUCCCCGGAGUCGGGUCGCUUGGGAAUGCAGCCCGAAGCGGGUGGUAAACUCCACCUAAGGCUAAAUACCGGCGCGAGUCCGAUAGCGGACAAGUACCGCGAGGGAAAGUUGAAAAGAACUUU